CAGGGGUGCACUGGGGAACCGCAGGCAAAACUCUGGGUUCGCCCUCCAGCAACCCCAGACAGGCGUUGCUUCCAGGAAGAGAUUGACCUUGUAACCUCCUUGAUAUCCAGAAGGCAUGAAGGAAGAGCCUGUUGGUGAGGGUCUACAGAGGUGGCCCAGUGGGCAAGAGGACAUACUGAUAUACGCAGAGGACCCCAGUUCAGUUCCUUGUACCGACUUCGGAUGGAUCCAGCGACAGGGGAAGAGGCACCACACCCUGUGGGGUCUAUUGUGGAGAAUGUUCUGGAUGCCCUUGGGAAGAAUGCAUAUUCUGCUGUUCUGGGGUAGCAUCAUAUAUAUCAUAUAUGUAUGUUAUGUAUAUUGGUUAAAUCCAGCUGGUCUACAGUGUUGACCAGAACCCAUAUUUCCUCAUUGAUCUCUUGUCAGGUUGU